UUUGUUCUCAGAAUAUCAUCUUUAUUAGCAUAUAAGGUGCAGAACGGACAGGGGAAUCCAAUGGAUAUUCAUGUGGACUCUGUAAAGAAUGCAAGGGCGAAGAAGAACCAACACAACUGUGUCGGUGGCAUGUGUGAGUGGAGGCCAAGCUUGAAAAAAAGAAGGAGCAUUCCCAGCUGGCUGGGGUAGGUUCCCUAACUCGGUGGUAAGCAUGGUGAACUGAUCGUUCAUAGUUUUCAGGAGUGAAAUCAG
rnacentral:lncRNA from 12 species